UUUGGAUAUCUCAAAGAUAAA
ensembl:piRNA 21ur-10525 ncRNA